rnacentral:rRNA from 1 species
AUUGAACGCUGGCGGCAUGCCUUACACAUGCAAGUCGAACGGUAACAGGUCUUCGGAUGCUGACGAGUGGCGAACGGGUGAGUAAUACAUCGGAACGUGCCUAGUAGUGGGGGAUAACUACUCGAAAGAGUGGCUAAUACCGCAUGAGAUCUACGGAUGAAAGCAGGGGAUCGCAAGACCUUGUGCUACUAGAGCGGCCGAUGGCAGAUUAGGUAGUUGGUGGGAUAAAAGCUUACCAAGCCGACGAUCUGUAGCUGGUCUGAGAGGACGAUCGUCCACACUGGGACUGAGACACGGCCCAGACUCCUGCGGGAGGCAGCAGUGGGGAAUUUUGGACAAUAGGCGAAAGCCUGAUCCAGCAAUGCCGCGUGCAGGAUGAAGGCCUUCGGGUUGUAAACUGCUUUUGUACGGAACGAAAAGCCCCGGGUUAAUACCCUGGGGUCAUGACGGUACCGUAAGAAUAAGCACCGGCUAACUACGUGCCAGCCGCCGCGGUAA